GUGCUCACUUUGGCAGCACAUAUACUAAAAUUGGACUGAUACAGAGAAGAUUAGCAUGGACCCUGCGCAAGAGUGACAUACAAAUUCGUGAAGCAUUACAUAUUAAA
ensembl:snRNA U6 U6 spliceosomal RNA